GGAAUAUUGGACAAUGGGCGAAAGCCUGAUCCAGCAAUACCGCGUGUGUGAAGAAGGCCUUAGGGUUGUAAAGCACUUUCAAUUGGGAGGAAAACCUACCGGUCAAUACCCGGUAGCUUGACAUUACCUUUAGAAGAAGCACCGGCUAACUCCGUGCCAGCAGCCGCGGUAAUACGGAGGGUGCAAGCGUUAAUCGGAAUUACUGGGCGUAAAGCGUGCGUAGGCGGUUCGUUAAGUCAGAUGUGAAAGCCCUGGGCUCAACCUGGGAACUGCAUUUGAAACUGGCGGACUAGAGUUUAGUAGAGGGGAGUGGAAUUUCAGGUGUAGCGGUGAAAUGCGUAGAUAUCUGAAGGAACACCAGUGGCGAAGGCGACUCCCUGGACUAGAACUGACGCUGAGGUACGAAAGCGUGGGUAGCAAACAGGAUUAGAUACCCUGGUAGUCCACGCCGUAAACGAUGUCGACUAGCCGUUGGUCCUAUUUACAGGAUUAGUGGCGCAGCUAACGCAUUAAGUCGACCGCCUGGGGAGUACGGCCGCAAGGUUAAAACUCAAAUGAAUUGACGG
rnacentral:rRNA from 1 species